UUUCAUUUUCAGUCAUUCAACCCCCAGCAAUUUCCAGUGACACCAGAUACCUGCUGGCUGCAGCUCCCAAUUAAUCUGAGGAGCUGGAGAGCUUGGCUGUGCUGCUGGUGUAAACAAGCCAGUUAGGAGCAUGUCAGGCUUUGUUCAGCCAGGAAUCACAUCCUUGUUAUGAGCUGAAGCAUCACACCUGCUCCUUUUAGGUUAACUGACAAAUUGCUGCUAUGUAAAUCUGCAGUUUGAGUGUAAAACCAAGCCUCUCCUGAGGCUAGCUGACAACGUGUGAGGAAGGGAAAUUGAAACAAAAAACAAACACACCAAACUUGUGAUAGCUCUCGUGGCAAGAUAGCCUUGCACCAGGGAAUGUAACUCUGUGAGGCAGGAUUACUCACAAACACCAGGCAUCAAAAAUAUUCAGUACUGUAUGGGGGUGUGAACCUGUCAGCUGAGAGACCUUUCUCACCUGAUUCUGAAGAUUCUAUGCCCAUUAUUAAACAAUUUAAGUCACAAUCAGCCAAACAGCAUUUUCUGGGGUUUAACAUUCUAUACUUUGUGAAGUGCAUUAUGCUGAACAAGAGAAGGUGGCUGAAAGCAUCUAUUUAAGGACUUUCAAACUGGGCAUGGACAAAGGCAGUGACAAACAAGCUGCAGUGCCAAAAUCCUCCCUGCUCCCUCCCGUGCCAAAACCCCAGGAACCAGCAUGUCCUAUCCACUCUUUGAGUUAUGCAACAGUGUGCAAAAGCUGUUGCCUUCAGAGGUGUCCAAGGAUUUCUAGCUUGAUCUGGGGCACACUGACCAUCACUUGUUGCCUCAGGAAGAGCAGGUUUUCCUGUCAUCUUUCAUCACCUCAUUCACCAGUAUUUCAACACAUCUGCCCAAUUGUAUUGCUCAGCAUGGAGAAUUGAGCAUGGCAUUUCCUCUGAUGAGAAGUCAAGCUGCAAGCUCCUCAACAGCUAUCAAACAAUGAUGUGUACACAGCUCAG